UACGAAGGGGGCUAGCGUUGCUCGGAAUCACUGGGCGUAAAGCGCACGUAGGCGGAUUUUUAAGUCAGGGGUGAAAUCCUGGAGCUCAACUCCAGAACUGCCUUUGAUACUGGGAAUCUCGAGUCCGGGAGAGGUGAGUGGAACUGCGAGUGUAGAGGUGAAAUUCGUAGAUAUUCGCAAGAACACCAGUGGCGAAGGCGGCUCACUGGCCCGGUACUGACGCUGAGGUGCGAAAGCGUGGGGAGCAAAGCAGG
rnacentral:rRNA from 1 species